AGAGUUUGAUCCUGGCUCAGGAUGAACGCUAGCUACAGGCUUAACACAUGCAAGUCGAGGGGCAGCAUCAUCAAAGCUUGUUUUGAUGGAUGGCGACCGGCGCACGGGUGAGUAACACGUAUCCAACCUGCCGACAACACUGGGAUAGCCUUUCGAAAGAAAGAUUAAUACCGGAUGGCAUAGUUUUCCCGCAUGGGAUAAUUAUUAAAGAAUUUCGGUUGUCGAUGGGGAUGCGUUCCAUUAGGCAGUUGGCGGGGUAACGGCCCACCAAACCAACGAUGGAUAGGGGUUCUGAGAGGAAGGUCCCCCACAUUGGAACUGAGACACGGUCCAAACUCCUACGGGAGGCAGCAGUGAGGAAUAUUGGUCAAUGGACGAGAGUCUGAACCAGCCAAGUAGCGUGAAGGAUGACUGCCCUAUGGGUUGUAAACUUCUUUUAUACGGGAAUAAAGUUAGCCACGUGUGGCUUUUUGUAUGUACCGUAUGAAUAAGGAUCGGCUAACUCCGUGCCAGCAGCCGCGGUAAUACGGAGGAUCCGAGCGUUAUCCGGAUUUAUUGGGUUUAAAGGGAGCGUAGGCGGGUUGUUAAGUCAGUUGUGAAAGUUUGCGGCUCAACCGUAAAAUUGCAGUUGAUACUGGCGACCUUGAGUGCAACAGAGGUAGGCGGAAUUCGUGGUGUAGCGGUGAAAUGCUUAGAUAUCACGAAGAACUCCGAUUGCGAAGGCAGCUUACUGGAUUGUAACUGACGCUGAUGCUCGAAAGUGUGGGUAUCAAACAGGAUUAGAUACCCUGGUAGUCCACACAGUAAACGAUGAAU
rnacentral:rRNA from 1 species